rnacentral:rRNA from 1 species
UAAAGCGUGCGCAGGCGGUUAUAUAAGACAGAUGUGAAAUCCCCGGGCUCAACCUGGGAACUGCAUUUGUGACUGUAUAGCUGGAGUGCGGCAGAGGGGGAUGGAAUUCCGCGUGUAGCAGUGAAAUGCGUAGAUAUGCGGAGGAACACCGAUGGCGAAGGCAAUCCCCUGGGCCUGCACUGACGCUCAUGCACGAAAGCGUGGGGAGCAAACAGGAUUAGAACCCGAGU